GCCAAAGUGUAAACGUUUACACACUUACACACUAAAACUGAAAUCAAAAUGAAUUUUCGCUUUGGUUUUCUUUGUUUUUGCCUAUUUUUGAUUGGGCACACUUGGUCCGCGCCCAAGAGAGACAUAAGAAUGGGCACUUGGUUGUUUGCCUCUGGAAUGAGAAAAGUCCAGAUUUGCAAGAGGACACUCGUGAACCUGAGACCAAGAGUGAAACUCUUCGAAGUAAGACACAACUUUGCAAUCGACACUACAUCAACAACUACCCCGUAGCGUUCUACGUCUGUAGCAACUGCUCCGAUGGACAAGAUUACACAGGCUGUAUCGUCGGUGACUGUCGAAGCCAGCAAUGUGCAGACUUUGUCGUGGGACCUAACGACUGGUGCGCCAAUUGCCCUAAUGGUCCCAACUGCUGGGUGGAGAGCAGACUGAUCCCAAUGGGUAAUGUGGUGAGCUUUCCUAACGGCACCACGUGUAACUGCAUCUAUGGUAGCUAUCAAGUUGUGAGGACGCAGUGCAGCUACCUGUUGGAAGGGUAGAAGUGGACUACUUUCAUGGCCCCGAUUACGUGUCGUGGAUGUAGGUCAUGUAUUGAUGUGGAGUUUCCUGAUUACGCAUGCACAACGCACCA